UACGGAGGGUGCGAGCGUUGUCCGGAAUCACUGGGCGUAAAGGGCGCGUAGGUGGCCUGUGGAAGUCUGCGGUGAAAGCCCGGCGCUCAACGCCGGGUCGGCCGUGGCAACUGCUGGGCUGGAGCACAGUAGAGGCGGGUGGAAUUCCGGGUGUAGCGGUGGAAUGCGUAGAGAUCCGGAAGAACACCGGUGGCGAAGGCGGCCCGCUGGGCUGUUGGCUGACGCUGGAGGCGCGACAGCGUGGGGAGCAAACAGG
rnacentral:rRNA from 1 species